AUAAGCGGAGGAAAAGAAACCAACAGGGAUUGCCUCAGUAACGGCGAGUGAAGCGGCAAAAGCUCAAAUUUGAAAUCUAACACUUUCAGUGUUCGAGUUGUAAUUUGAAGAAAGUUUCUCUGAAUAGUCCUUUAUCUAUGUUCCUUGGAACAGGACGUCAUAGAGGGUGAGAAUCCCGUAUGAUUUUGGAUACUAUUCUUUGUGAGAUUCUUUCGAAGAGUCGAGUUGUUUGGGAAUA
rnacentral:rRNA from 1 species